UCAUGUUGUGGGCAGCUCCCCCGGGGAGGAGUCCAUACAGAUGGCCAACCUGUCACCAGGUUGCUCAGGACUUCCCUGGUGUUGGAUUGGAAGGCUCACGUCCCAAAAACUCCCUCAGCCCUGGGCACACCAGGAUGGUCAGCCUACACCACAUGAUGAGGAACGGAGGCCUCUGGACAGCGGUGAGCAAGAAGUUGAGGCCUUCCACCAACAACCACAUGAAGAGCCACCUUGGAAGCCAGCCCCCCGGCCCCAGUCAAGCCUUGAGACUACUGAAGCCUCAUUAAAGACCCUGAGCCAGAACCCCAGCUGCAGUGAUCUUCCUGUUUGGGAAUUUCUUUGCCUUUCCUGAAAAUCAACCUGAGGGAAUUUCGCUAUCAGAGUUCCUGAAGAGCAGAGCUGGGCAGGGCCCCUGGCUGCUGUGGGGAUGACGCCCAAUCAACUGAGUCAUACCAACCAGAGUUGGGGGUGCAUUUUUUUGUUCUUUUGUUAUCUUUCCUUGCCUCUUACUUUCCUACCUGUAUUUUUCCUUUUGCC